GUGGGCUGGUGAGGGAAUGUGGAGCCCCUGGGGACCACAUAUAUAUACGGGUCUGCACUUUUUGCAGACCUUUCUCAUAGAAAAGACUGACCAAAGUUCUGAGAAUCUCUCUGUGGGGCAGAUCUGGGGAAGGAGGUGGGGGGGCGGAAAGGCCACUACAGAGAGCCAUGAAAUGAUCCCUUCCCCUCCUUGCCCCUUCUGGAACAAAAGCCUCAAUCUGAAGGAGAAAGGACAAAACCUUUUCCUUACAGCACCGAUAAAACUGAGGGAAGGAAACAGAAAAACAAAAACAAAACCCUUCCACCCUAACCCAGCGGCAAGAGUUCAGAAAACGAAAACUAAAUCUUUAUUGGCCACAGAUGCAUUCUACCAGAAAUGUUGUUCUUCAAGCAGGAACAUGUAUCUAAACAAAGAUAUGAAGAAUACUGAGAACUGAAUAAUUGAAGAUCCCCUUCUUUCCUUUAUGGAGACGGAAGACGUCUAGGGAAUCUGAGGCUGUCACCCUUCGCUCUGUCAGGACAUUGAUUUGAUAUGCAAUUAAAGAAUAAUUGCGUGGCUUGUUUCCUGGAGAUUGGUGCCUUCCGUGGACUGAAUCGUUGAAGACUGGGAGGGAGCUUUUUGCUGACAGCAUGGAACCUGAGCCCCUUUGCUCGCCCUCUAGCAAGUUCCCUUCUACUGCAUUGUUGGAGACCACUUCUUCCCACAGCCCUUGGAAGACUGGCCGUCAGAAGCUGAAGUUGGAGAUCACAGGGCAGAGGGAAACAGAAAGGGAGAAAACUAGGGUUUGUAUUUUGGGGAUUGAAGGUGAAUCCAUCACAUCAGACCAGAAACAUCUAAUAGUUGUAUUUUAGCCCUCCCAAGAUUCUUUUCUGGAAGUUUUAGAGGAAUAAAUGAGAAAA